rnacentral:rRNA from 1 species
AGUAGUUUGAUCAGUGGCUCAGGACGAACGCUGGCGGUAUGCUUAACACAUGCAAGUCGAACGAGAAACCUCAAAUAGAAUCCUUCGGGAGGAAAGGAGAGGAAGAAAGUGGCGAACGGGUGAGUAACGCGUGGGCAACCUACCUCACGGAAAGGGAUAGCCUCGGGAAACCGGGAGUAAAACCAUAUAAGACCACAGUGUCGCAUGACACAGGGGUCAAAACUCCGGUGCCGUGAGAUGGGCCCGCGUCCCAUUAGCUAGUUGGCAGGGUAAAGGCCUACCAAGGCGACGAUGGGUAGCCGGUCUGAGAGGGCGAACGGCCACAUUGGAACUGAGACACGGUCCAAACUCC